rnacentral:rRNA from 1 species
GACGAACGCUGGCGGCGUGCUUAACACAUGCAAGUCGAACGGAGCGAAUGAAAGCUUGCUUUUAUAAGCUUAGUGGCAAACGGGUGAGUAACACGUAGACAACCUGCCGACAGGAUGGGGACAACAUUCCGAAAGGAAUGCUAAUACCGAAUGAAGCGCAGGAGAGGCAUCUCUCCUGCGUGAAAGAUGGCCUCUAUAUAUAAGCUAUCACCUGUUGAUGGGUCUGCGUCUGAUUAGCUGGUAGGUGAGGUAACGGCUCACCUAGGCGACGAUCAGUAGCCGGUCUGAGAGGAUGAACGGCCACAUUGGGACUGAGACACGGCCCAGACUCCUACGGGAGGCAGCAGUGGGGAAUCUUCCGCAAUGGGCGCAAGCCUGACGGAGCAACGCCGCGUGAGUGAAGAAGGUCUUCGGAUCGUAAAGCUCUGUUGAUGGGGACGAACGUGCCUAAUGCGAAUAGUUUUAGGCAAUGACGGUACCCAUCGAGGAGCC